UACCAUGCUGUUUUGGUUGCUGUGGCCUA
rnacentral:piRNA from 1 species